rnacentral:lncRNA from 1 species
GCCAGUCUCCAAUGCUACCACCAAGGCUCUCUUGCUUUUUUUCUUUCCCCUCUCUCUCUACUCUUUUAAUUAAAUCCUAACUCAUCUCUCUGCUUCCAACCCUGCCUCUGCAUUAGUCAGUGCUUCUUAACAGGGGCAGGGCACACUCCUUGGAUUGUGGGAGUGGAAAAUUGAUUGGAUAUUGGUCACCACCAUAAUUGGAGAGGUACUGCUGCCGUUUAGUGUACAGAGGCCGCAGAGGUUAGAGACGCAGCAACGCAUGGCUAUUCAGCCACGGACGUCAAAUGCCUGCCAGACAUUUAGAUAAUUAUUUCAACUCUUCAAGAUUCUAAGGCCACAGACCAUUGAAACAUAAAGAAGACUAUAUAUGGAAUCUAGGAAGAGGAAAGGAAUUUGGGACAACUAUUUAAGACUGCAAGAGAAGAGCCACAGCUUGAGCCAAGGAUUUUUUGGAAGUUUAUCCACAAGACCUCAGGAGCUAGAUUCCAAUCUUUCUGAUUCAAAGAAUCCCCAAACUCAAUGAGGACACGUUUUCCUCCCGAGAACAGCAGAAUGGUAACAAAGAACACAUGAAAAGAAAAUGCUUUCAAGGACCAAAGGAAUUCAUCUACAAAUAUGGAAUUUCCAGCAUGGAAGUCAGUGACAAAGCCCUGGCAUACCCCCAUCGCAGGUGUCGUGAGAACACCGUCCAGUGGGACGAGGCCAGCCCUGCCCUGAGAAGCUGAGAUUCCCACCCCACCUGGAGGGAGCUGAGCACCCUCACAGCAACUCUGAGCCCCUGACUCCAAAGGAGACUCUUCUCCUGUGGUAUCAGACGUAGAGGGCGGGCUCCCUUAAAGUAAAAUUCCACAACAGGGCAGUAGAAAGAUGCAAUGAAACAUAUACGAGUUAUUAAAUAUUGUCAUCAAGAUGAGUAAUAAAUCAGACAUUUUAUGGUUUCUGAUUAUAAAUUCCAUUUAUUCCAUAAGUGUUUAAAGAAAGAAAAAUGGAGACCCAACAGAGAUUUAAGCCUGCCCGAGAUGGGUAUAUUUCAUGAUUGCUUUGUGACUGCUGCAUCCUGGGUGGAAUAGGGGUGGGGGAGAUACAAAAGGGCCCUCUCAGGGCCAGGAAGAAUGAAUUGCUGGGUUUCUGCGGCUCUGUGAGUGCAUUCAUUGUCAUGUGAGACUCUUCCUAAGAAUUCUUUUGAAGUCAGGAAUUCUGGCCAGGUUCCUGGUGGACACACUCUUGAAGAUAGCCUACUCCUUCAAAUCCCAAAACCAACUUAAACAAGAGGCCAGGCGAGAAAAGCCAACGUGGGGAGACUCCAUAGGUCCUGGCAGGUGGCACUGAACAAUGCAGAUCCUUAACAGGAGGGAGGAGAU